GAUGAACGCUAGCUACAGGCUUAACACAUGCAAGUCGAGGGGCAGCAUGGUCUUAGCUUGCUAAGGCUGAUGGCGACCGGCGCACGGGUGAGUAACACGUAUCCAACCUGCCGUCUACUCUUGGCCAGCCUUCUGAAAGGAAGAUUAAUCCAGGAUGGGAUCAUGAGUUCACAUGUCCGCAUGAUUAAAGGUAUUUUCCGGUAGACGAUGGGGAUGCGUUCCAUUAGAUAGUAGGCGGGGUAACGGCCCACCUAGUCAACGAUGGAUAGGGGUUCUGAGAGGAAGGUCCCCCACAUUGGAACUGAGACACGGUCCAAACUCCUACGGGAGGCAGCAGUGAGGAAUAUUGGUCAAUGGGCGAUAGCCUGAACCAGCCAAGUAGCGUGAAGGAUGACUGCCCUAUGGGUUGUAAACUUCUUUUAUAAAGGAAUAAAGUCGGGUAUGCAUACCCGUUUGCAUGUACUUUAUGAAUAAGGAU
rnacentral:rRNA from 1 species